UACAGAGGUCUCAAGCGUUGUUCGGAUUCAUUGGGCGUAAAGGGUGCGUAGGCGGCGCGGUAAGUCGGGUGUGAAAUCUUGGGGCUUAACUCCGAAACUGCAUUCGAUACUGCCGUGCUUGAGGACUGGAGAGGAGACUGGAAUUUACGGUGUAGCGGUGAAAUGCGUAGAUAUCGUAAGGAAGACCAGUGGCGAAGGCGGGUCUCUGGACAGUUCCUGACGCUGAAGCACGAAGGCCAGGGGAGCAAACGGG
rnacentral:rRNA from 1 species